UACGUAGGGUGCGAGCGUUGUCCGGAAUUAUUGGGCGUAAAGAGCUCGUAGGCGGUGUGUCGCGUCGGCCGUGAAAACCUGCAGCUUAACUGUGGGCUUGCGGUCGAUACGGGCAUCACUGGAGUUCGGCAGGGGAGACUGGAAUUCCUGGUGUAGCGGUGAAAUGCGCAGAUAUCGGGAGGAACACCCGUAGCGAAGGCGGCACUCUGGGCCGGUACUGACGCUGAGGAGCGAAAGCGUGGGGAGCAAACAGG
rnacentral:rRNA from 1 species